GAUGAACGCUGGCGGCGUGCCUAAUACAUGCAAGUCGAGCGAACAGAUGAGGAGCUUGCUCCUCUGACGUUAGCGGCGGACGGGUGAGUAACACGUGGAUAACCUACCUAUAAGACUGGGGUAACUUCGGGAAACCGGCGCUAAUACCGGAUAAUAUAUUGAACCGCAUGGUUCAAUAGUGAAAGACGGUUUUGCUGUCACUUAUCGAUGGAUCCGCGCCGCAUUAGCUAGUUGGUAAGGUACCGGCUUACCAAGGCAACGAUGCGUAGCCGACCUGAGAGGGGGAUCGGCCACACUGGAACGGGGACACCGUCCAGACGCCUACGGGAGGCAGCAGUAGGGAAUCUGCCGCAAUGGGCGGAAGCCUGGCGGAGCAACGCCGCGUGAGAGAUGGAGGUCUUCGGAGCGGAAAAAUCUGUUUUUAGGGAAGAACAAAUGUGUAAGUAACUAUGCACGUCUUGACGGUACCUAAUCAGAAAGCCACGGCUAACUACGUG
rnacentral:rRNA from 1 species